rnacentral:rRNA from 1 species
UACGGAGGAUGCGAGCGUUAUCCGGAUUUAUUGGGUUUAAAGGGUGCGCAGGCGGCGAUUCAAGUCAGCGGUCAAAAUGCGGUGCUCAACGCCGUACCGCCGUUGAAACUGUGUUGCUCGAGUUUGUGCGAGGAUGGCGGAAUGCGCGGUGUAGCGGUGAAAUGCAUAGAUAUCGCGCAGAACCCCGAUUGCGAAGGCAGCUGUCCAGCACACUACUGACGCUCAUGCACGAAAGCGUGGGUAUC